rnacentral:tRNA from 1 species
GGUCCCUUCGUCUAAUGGUUAGGACGCCAGGUUCUCAACCUGAUAAUAGGAGUUCGAUUCUCCUAGGGAUCACCA